UACGUAGGGUGCAAGCGUUGUCCGGAAUUAUUGGGCGUAAAGAGCUCGUAGGCGGUCUGUCACGUCGGCUGUGAAAACUCGGGGCUCAACCCCGAGCCUGCAGUCGAUACGGGCAGACUAGAGUCCGGCAGGGGAGACUGGAAUUCCUGGUGUAGCGGUGAAAUGCGCAGAUAUCGGGAGGAACACCGGUGGCGAAGGCGGUUCUCUGGGCCUGUACUGACGCUGAGGAGCGAAAGCGUGGGGAGCGAACAGG
rnacentral:rRNA from 1 species